rnacentral:rRNA from 1 species
UACGUAGGGUGCAAGCGUUGUCCGGAAUUAUUGGGCGUAAAGAGCUCGUAGGCGGUCUGUCGCGUCGGCUGUGAAAUCCCGAGGCUCAACCUCGGGUCUGCAGUCGAUACGGGCAAACUGGAGUGUUGCAGGGGAGACUGGAAUUCCUGGUGUAGCGGUGGAAUGCGCAGAUAUCAGGAGGAACACCGAUGGCGAAGGCAGUUCUCUGGGCCGUAACUGACGCUGAGGAGCGAAAGCGUGGGGAGCGAACAGG